rnacentral:misc_RNA from 1 species
CAGUAGUCACCCGGGGCGCCGCAAGGCCUCCCGGGUAACCUACCACCCUUUGUUUAUUACACUUUGUUGCUUUGGCAGGCCUGCCCUCGGGCUGCUGGCUCCGGCCGGCGAGCGCUUCGGCGGCCGCCAGAGGACCCUAAACUCUUGUUUACAGUGUCGUCUGAGUACUAUACAAUAGUUA